GACGAACGCUGGCGGCGUGCUUAACACAUGCAAGUCGAACGGUAAGGCCCUUCGGGGUACACGAGUGGCGAACGGGUGAGUAACACGUGGGUGAUCUGCCCUGCACUUCGGGAUAAGCCUGGGAAACUGGGUCUAAUACCGGAUAGGACCACUGCCUGCAUGGGGGGUGGUGGAAAGCUUUUGCGGGGUGGGAUGGGCCCGCGGCCUAUCAGCUUGUUGGUGGGGUGAUGGCCUACCAAGGCGACGACGGGUAGCCGGCCUGAGAGGGUGACCGGCCACACUGGGACUGAGAUACGGCCCAGACUCCUACGGGGGGCAGCAGUGGGGAAUAUUGCACAAUGGGCGCAAGCCUGAUGCAGCGACGCCGCGUGAGGGAUGACGGCCUUCGGGUUGUAAACCUCUUUCAGCACCGACGAAGCGCAAGUGACGGUAGGUGCAGAGGAAGGACCGGCCAACUACGUGCCAGCCGCCGCGGUAA
rnacentral:rRNA from 1 species